rnacentral:rRNA from 1 species
AUUGAACGCUGGCGGCAUGCCUUACACAUGCAAGUCGAACGGUAACAGGUCUUCGGAUGCUGACGAGUGGCGAACGGGUGAGUAAUACAUCGGAACGUGCCCGAUCGUGGGGCAUAACGAAGCGAAAGCUUUGCUAAUACCGCAUACGAUCUACGGAUGAAAGCAGGGGACCGCAAGGCCUUGCGCGAACGGAGCGGCCGAUGGCAGAUUAGGUAGUUGGUGGGAUAAAAGCUUACCAAGCCGACGAUCUGUAGCUGGUCUGAGAGGACGACCAGCCACACUGGGACUGAGACACGGCCCAGACUCCUACGGGAGGCAGCAGUGGGGAAUUUUGGACAAUGGGCGAAAGCCUGAUCCAGCCAUGCCGCGUGCAGGAUGAAGGCCUUCGGGUUGUAAACUGCUUUUGUACGGAACGAAAAGACUCUGGUUAAUACCUGGGGUCCAUGACGGUACCGUAAGAAUAAGCACCGGCUAACUACGUG